rnacentral:misc_RNA from 1 species
CUGUCUGCUGAGCUGACAGUGCUAAAUGAAUGGUGACUGGCACUGAUUCUGAUUAGUGCUGACUUUACUAUGUUACUCCUGCUGUUCUCUAUAGUUAUUAAAAAUAAUACAAUCUAGUAUACGCUUUACCUUUCGUAAUAUUUUCAUUGAAUAUUAUUUUAAAAUAAUUAGAAUAUGUUUAUUGGGCUUACUAAGUAGAUUUCUAUGGCUUGUGAUGUUUCGUGAUCUGUUUAUUUUAACAAUUAUUCUACAAAUAUUGGGCGCUGUAUAAGAUGUAACCAAAUUUUCACAAAUUCCACGUCGAGACAUGGGUUCCAGAUUAAGAGACACGGUUCGCUUCCUUUUUGAACUGUAUUGUGAAGUGUCACCUGGUGAUCAAGUGAGGGAGCCAUAUAUUAUUAGAAAAUAUCCUGAGUCAUACAAAAAUGAAGAAGAGUUAAAGAAUCUACCAAAAUUUACAUUCCCAUGUCAAAUUGAAGAACCAUUUGUACAACUUUAUUCGUUUGUAUUAACAUCAAUGGAUUCCAAAUAUACAUUUUGUUUUUGUCGAUAUGAUCCGAAGGCGAAAGCAGCGUUGGUCCUGUUAUCCCAUUUACCAUGGCAUGAUAUAUUUUAUAAGUUACUGAAUUGUAUAGCCAAUUUACUGAAUAGUCCUGAACGAGGGGAAUUGACAUACUUUUUAGAGUCAUGUCGCUCCCGGCCCCCCAUGCCUGGUCAUACGCUCAAAGUUACAUACAAUGCUGGCCACAGUGUAUUCACGUGCCAAAGCCCAGACGCCAAACUACCCAGCAUUCCAGAAAAUAAUAAUUUAACAGAAUAUUUUAGCGCCCUGGACCCAAAAAGCAUGAUUGGGUUGUGGGCAGCUUUGCUCAAUGAACGUCGUGUGGCUAUCGUGGCAUCAAAACCGUCCCGGUUGUCGGCCUGCGUCCAAGCGGCCAACGCUACAUUGUUUCCCAUGUCUUGGCAACACAUAUUCAUACCAAUACUACCAAAACAUCUUGUUGAUUACUUAUUGGCGCCUAUGCCGUUUCUUAUUGGAGUUCCUAAAUCCGUUAUGGAGUCUGUGAGAAUGUCUGAAAUAGGAGAUGUUGUCAUAGUAGAUGUAGAUACAAAUGAGCUUAGAACGCCCUUCCAUGAUGUAGAAAGUCUUCCUCCAGAAUUGGUAACGAGCUUAAAAAAAGCUUUAAGUGACAAAAAUGCGCUGGGCGAUGCGGUCUCGAGGGCAUUCUUACGUGCGCUUGUAUGUCUUAUAGGUGGCUAUCGUGAUGCUAUCAAAAUUGAAAAUGGCCAGUUGAUUACCUUCAAUGCAGAGGCUUUUGUGAGAACUAGAAAAAACAUGCAACACUUUCUUAGAAAAAUACUCCAAUCUCAAAUAUUUCAGCAGUUUAUUGAUGAAAGACUGGGUCUACUUAAUUCAGGACGAGGUUUCAGUGAUGAGUUUGAGAUUGAAUGUAAUCAUUAUGCUGACAAGUUGAAUACGGGCAGUGGGCAGAGGCUAAAACAACAAUACCGGGACUGGGCUAAGACGGUCAAGAAAGAAGGUGGUGCUUUUUUCAAAACUGUCAAAGAUAAGGCGAACCCAGCAGUACAAUCGGCUGUGAAAACGGUCCGGCAAGGUGGUAAAAAUAUGAAAUCGGCUGUGAAAGGUUUAAAAAGUAAAAUACCCAAAACUGGAUCGCGGCCGUCCUCAAUAAAUACAACAGAUGAUAGCAGGUUUUCAUGUGGUUCAGCAACGCCAGUGUCCUCUGACUCAUCUGACUCAUCGCCGUCACAUGAUCCUCCGCCGCGGGAGCCGCCGCCGCCCCUUCCACUCGAUCUUCUCACUGAAAUGGAGUUCCUCUUCGACAACAAGAACGCACAACGACGGGAUAGUUUCCCAAACAGCUCGCACAAUUCAGAAAUAAGCCUGCCCGAUAAGGCGAAAACACUGUCACCAUGCCUCCCACCCCGGUUACCGGAACGUCCCCACCCCCCACUCCGUUACCCAAUAAUUUCCACGAGGAAACUUAUCGAUUUGUCUGAUGCGCCGGUACCGCCGCCGCGGGCCAUCCCGCCACCGAAUCACAGCUCCAAUUUUGUGAGAAACAUUACAAAAAAUACAGUGAAACCGGAAACGGACUUUCACACAAGCGCUAUACGGUUCACGGAAGGCAAAGAUAAGGCCAAGCUAAAACUGACCAUGUCAUCGAAUCAGAGAAAGGUGUCGCAACCGAACCCGCUGCCGUGCAACGGCAACGCGUGCAAUGCUACGGCGCCCUCUGUAGACAGUAGGCAGAGUCAGGACAAUAGGUUAGCGGGGGCCCUAACCCAACCGGCAGUCAACGCCACUCCGAAAUGGAAAGCUCAAGAGGUAAUUCUGAUAUGUGCAUUUGUAAUCAUAUCGAUUUUGUAUCUUAUUGUACAACGGAGGUUAAUUGCAUACAUACCAUAAGAAGUACAAGAGUGGAGUUUGUUUUUGCACUAACACGAAAUUACAUUAAUCGAGUAAUAUGUAUCUAUAUGAAAUUAAUUAUUGUUAAUAAUUACUGUUUAAUAUAUCUCUAACCCAUGCAACGUUGUCCCUUUAUUCCUUACAACGUCAUUUCUCAGUACCCCUUUGAGCACGAGUUUGUCUCGAAGAGUUCUUUUAUUAAGAAACAUAGGUGCUAUUCUAUCAUUUAUAGUUACACGCACUGCUAUACGACGAGUCAUAAACUUUAAACGCAAUCACUGAAAGUUCAUGUUUGCAAGAUGCACUUUUAUAGAGAACACAGUAAAAUAAUGUACAAAGAGAGGGAUGCGCUCAUUAGAAACUGCAAACAUCGCAAGGAAGAUUACGAUUAUAAUUUUCUAUUAAAUAAAGCCGUGUGGCUCUGUAACUGAUCUCAUAAAAUUGGAUGAUUCGCCAACGUGUCUAGAAGAUUUCGAUCCUCUCAAGUGUCGCGAUAAGAAUGUUGAACAAAUCAAGUCGUCUACGG